GCGUCUAUGUAAGCGCCUGAACUGGAGCGAUCCAGUUGACGAGGACAGGGGAUUAUCGAUCUAUCGGCGGAUGCCCCUGGGGAGCUUGGGAACUCCCUGAAUUCAGGUCACAAAGCCCGCAGGCGACUGUGGGGACAAAAUGCCUGGUGUUUCCCGAA
rnacentral:ncRNA from 2 species